GUGCUCACUUCAGCAGCACGUAUAUUAAAAUUGGAAUGAUACAGAGAUUAGCAUGGCCUUUGUGCAAGGAUGCCAUGCAAAUUUGUGAAGCACUCUCUAUAUUU